AUUGAACGCUGGCGGCAGGCCUAACACAUGCAAGUCGAACGAGCGGCGGACGGGUGAGUAAUGUCUGGGAAACUGCCUGAUGGAGGGGGAUAACUACUGGAAACGGUAGCUAAUACCGCAUACCAUCAGAUGUGCCCAGAUUGGAUUAGCUAGUAGGUGGGGUAACGGCUCACCUGGGCGACGAUCCCUAGCUGGUCUGAGAGGAUGACCAGCGACACUGGAACUGAGACACGGUCCAGACUCCUACGGGAGGCAGCAGUGGGGAAUAUUGCACAAUGGGCGCAAGCCUGAUGCAGCCAUGCCGCGUGUGUGAAGAAGGCCUUCGGGUUGUAAAGUACUUUAAGCGGGGAGGCGUUACCCGCAGAAGAAGCACCGGCUAACUCCGUGCCAGCAGCCGCGGUAAUAC
rnacentral:rRNA from 1 species